GAUGAACGCUGGCGGCGUGCCUAAUACAUGCAAGUCGAGCGAACGGACGGGAAGCUUGCUUCUCUGAUGUUAGCGGCGGACGGGUGAGUAACACGUGGAUAACCUACCUAUAAGACUGGGAUAACUUCGGGAAACCGGAGCUAAUACCGGAUAAUAUUUUGAACCGCAUGGUUCAAAAGUGAAAGACGGUCUUGCUGUCACUUAUAGAUGGAUCCGCGCUGCAUUAGCUAGUUGGUAAGGUAACGGCUUACCAAGGCAACGAUGCAUAGCCGACCUGAGAGGGUGAUCGGCCACACUGGAACUGAGACACGGUCCAGACUCCUACGGGAGGCAGCAGUAGGGAAUCUUCCGCAAUGGGCGAAAGCCUGACGGAGCAACGCCGCGUGAGUGAUGAAGGUCUUCGGAUCGUAAAACUCUGUUAUUAGGGAAGAACAUAUGUGUAAAUAACUGUGCACAUCUUGACGGUACCUAAUCAGAAAGCCACGGCUAACUACGUG
rnacentral:rRNA from 1 species